CUCGGCAGGCCUAACACAUGCAAGUCGAGCGGUAGCACAGAGAGCUUGCUCUCGGGUGACGAGCGGCGGACGGGUGAGUAAUGUCUGGGAAACUGCCUGAUGGAGGGGGAUAACUACUGGAAACGGUAGCUAAUACCGCAUAAUGUCGCAAGACCAAAGUGGGGGACCUUCGGGCCUCAUGCCAUCAGAUGUGCCCAGAUGGGAUUAGCUAGUAGGUGGGGUAACGGCUCACCUAGGCGACGAUCCCUAGCUGGUCUGAGAGGAUGACCAGCCACACUGGAACUGAGACACGGUCCAGACUCCUACGGGAGGCAGCAGUGGGGAAUAUUGCACAAUGGGCGCAAGCCUGAUGCAGCCAUGCCGCGUGUGUGAAGAAGGCCUUCGGGUUGUAAAGCACUUUCAGCGGGGAGGAAGGCGAUGAGGUUAAUAACCUUGUCGAUUGACGUUACCCGCAGAAGAAGCACCGGCUAACUCCGUGCCAGCAGCCGCGGUAAUACGGAGGGUGCAAGCGUUAAUCGGAAUUACUGGGCGUAAAGCGCACGCAGGCGGUCUGUCAAGUCAGAUGUGAAAUCCCCGGGCUCAACCUGGGAACUGCAUUCGAAACUGGCAGGCUAGAGUCUUGUAGAGGGGGGUAGAAUUCCAGGUGUAGCGGUGAAAUGCGUAGAGAUCUGGAGGAAUACCGGUGGCGAAGGCGGCCCCCUGGACAAAGACUGACGCUCAGGUGCGAAAGCGUGGGGAGCAAACAGGAUUAGAUACCCUGGUAGUCCACGCCGUAAACGAUGUCGAUUUGGAGGUUGUGCAGCUUUGAGGCGUGGCUUCCGGAGCUAACGCGUUAAAUCGACCGCCUGGGGAGUACGGCCGCAAGGUUAAAACUCAAAUGAAUUGACGGGGGCCCGCACAAGCGGUGGAGCAUGUGGUUUAAUUCGAUGCAACGCGAAGAACCUUACCUGGUCUUGACAUCCACAGAACUUACCAGAGAUGGUUUGGUGCCUUCGAGAACUGUGAGACAGGUGCUGCAUGGCUGUCGUCAGCUCGUGUUGUGAAAUGUUGGGUUAAGUCCCGCAACGAGCGCAACCCUUAUCCUUUGUUGCCAGCGGUCCGGCCGGGAACUCAAAGGAGACUGCC
rnacentral:rRNA from 1 species